GGAACUCUUUCCUGCGCUCACGCACGACCCAAAAGUAGUACCUGCCAACCUGUGACUUCGUCCUCCCUCCCCCUCUCCCCUCCCUGCCCCCCUCUCACCUAUUUUACCUACCUACUUCACUUCUUUUGUUUCUUCUUUUUAACAGCCUCGAGAGAUAUGAUCGGUACCAGCAGUCUAACGUUUACAACCACCGACAAAGACAGACAGAUAGACAGAAGAUGGACGAUGGUAGAGAUAUUAUAAAUCUUUAGAAUUUAAGAUCAAUCGUAUUCGUCUUGGCACUGAACGAUGUAAGAACAACUUUCCAUUUUAAACGGGAUACGUAUGUGAAAAAGAAGGAUGGGCAAUAGGUCGUAAAGUACGUACAACUAAACUUCAAAACGAAUGCGAAUGUCUCCUUGGAGAGCACUUCUCACGGAAUGCAAACGGGCAAGUACUACGAGCUUUCGACGAACAUCGACAAGAUCGGCAAAAGUAAGAACGUAAUAUCGCUAUAAAGUACUAUCUUUAAAAUGACAUGUAUCAUAAAACUUUAGUUUGAAUUUGAAUCUCUGAUGUUGACGAAUAGGAAUAUUGAAAUAUAGAAUAUCGAAAUAUAACCAUGAAUUUGAAGAAAUUAUACUUGUAUAAAGAGAAUGUGUUUAUUAUAUUUAGAAAUUGUUCAAGGAAAAUAAACACAUGCUUUCAUCUAAUAGAACCCUUUACUCA